rnacentral:misc_RNA from 1 species
GAUGAAGAACGUAGCGAAAUGCGAUACGUAACGUGAAUUGCAGAAUUCAGUGAAUCAUCGAAUCUUUGAACGCAUAUUGCGCUCUCUGGUAUUCCGGAGAGCAUGCUUGUUUGAGUAUCAGUAAACACCUCAACUUCCAUAUCUUUUUUGAAAUGGGAGUUGGACUUGAGUGAUCCCAACGCUUUUCCUCACCGAAAAGUGGCGGGUUACUUGAAAUGCAGGUGCAGCUGGACUUUUCUCUGAGCUAUAAGCAUAUCUAUUUAGUCUGCCUAAAAACAGAUUAUUACCUUUGCUGCAGCUAACAUAAAGGAGAUUAGUUCUUGUGCUGACUGAUGCAGGAUUCACAAAGACAGGCUUCGGCCGACUUUGUAAACUCGAUCUCAAAUCAAGUAAGACUACCCGCUGAACUUAAGCAUAUCAAUAAGCGGAGGA